GUGGGCCUGAGCCCACGCUGGACUCUGUCCGUCCUGCGAUGACUGCUGCCCUGGCCGUCGUCACGACGUCGGGUUUGGAAGAUGGGGUGCCUAGGUCCCGUGGCGAAGGGACCGGGGAAGUGGUCUUGGAGCGGGGUCCCGGCGCGGCCUACCACAUGUUCGUGGUGAUGGAGGACUUGGUGGAGAAGCUGAAGCUGCUCCGCUACGAGGAGGAGUUCCUCCGGAAGAGCAACCUGAAGGCCCCGUCCAGACACUAUUUUGCACUGCCUACCAACCCUGGCGAACAGUUCUACAUGUUUUGUACUCUUGCUGCUUGGUUGAUUAAUAAAGCGGGACAUCCCUUUGAGCAGCCUCAAGAAUAUGAUGACCCUAAUGCAACAAUAUCUAACAUACUAUCCGAGCUUCGGUCAUUUGGGAGAACUGCAGAUUUUCCUCCUUCAAAAUUAAAGUCAGGUUAUGGAGAACAUGUAUGCUAUGUUCUUGAUUGCUUAGCUGAAGAAGCAUUGAAAUAUAUUGGUUUCACCUGGAAAAGGCCAAUAUACCCAGUAGAAGAAUUAGAAGAAGAAAGUGUUGCAGAAGAUGAUGCAGAAUUAACACUAAAUAAAGUGGAUGAAGAAUUUGUGGUAUGUGUGUAGCUGAACUUUCUGUUCAUUUUCACCUUUCGGCCACUUUCCAUUCUCUUAAUUUCCCCCAGACUUCCAUUAUCUGGAAUAUAUUUUAUUUCAUUGUUUCUAAAGAAGCAAAGCUUUUAAAUA
rnacentral:sRNA from 1 species